rnacentral:rRNA from 1 species
UGAGUACGAGACGCUAAGGCGUUGAAGCAGUCUGUGUCAGACUUCCAAGAAAAGCUCGCAAUGUCAUAAACAAAAAGUGCCUGUACCAUAACCGACACAGGUGGGUAGGUAGAGUAUACUAAGGGGCGCGAGAUAACUCUCUCUAAGGAACUCGGCAAAAUGACUCCGUAACUUCGGGAGAAGGAGUGCCUUAUUUUUAUAAGGUUGCAAUAACAAGAUCCAAGCAACUGUUUACCAAAAACACAGGUCUCCGCUAAGUCGUAAGACGAUGUAUGGGGGCUGACGCCUGCCCAGUGCCAGAAGGUUAAAGAAGUUGGUUAGUUUCGGCGAAGCUGAUGACUGAAGCCCUGGUGAACGGCGGCCGUAACAAUAACGGUCCUAAGGUAGCGAAAUUCCUUGUCGGGUAAGUUCCGACCCGCACGAAAGGCGUAAUGAUUUGGAUACUGUCUCGGAGAGGGGCUCGGUGAAAUAGACUUGUCUGUGAAGAUGCGGACUACCUGCACCUGGACAGAAAGACCCUAUGAAGCUUUACUGUAACUUGAGAUUGAAAUUGGACUUUAUUUGCGCAGUAUAGGUGGGAGACGUUGAGAAUAUUCUUGCGGGAAUAUUGGAGUCAUCAGUGAGAUACCACUCUUGUAAUGUUAGAUUUCUAACUUUGUAUCAUUAUCUGGCCAAAGGACAGUUUCAGGCGGGCAGUUUGACUGGGCGGUCGCCUCCCAAACGGUAACGGAGGCGCACAAAGGUUUCCUCUGAACGUGUAGAAAUCGUAUCUAGAGUGUAAAGGCAUAAAGAAGCUUGACUGUGAGACCUACAAGUCGAGCAGGGACGAAAGUCGGUCUUAGUGAUCUGACGGUGCUGAGUGGAAAGGCCGUCACUCAACGGAUAAAAGUUACUCUAAGGAUAACAGGCUGAUCUCCCCCAAGAGUUCACAUCGACGGGGAGGUUUGGCACCUUGAUGUCGGCUCAUCGCAUCCUGGGGCGGUAGUACGUCCCAAGGGUUGGGCUGUUCGCCCAUGAAAGCGGUACGCGAGCUGGGUUCAGAACGUCGUGAGACAGUUCGGUCCAUAUCCGGUGUAGGCGUUAGAAUAUUGAGAGGAGCCCUCUUUAGUACGAGAGGACCGAGAAGGACAUACCUCUGGUGUACCAGUUAUCGUGCCAACGGUAAACGCUGGGUAGCUAUGUAUGGAGUGGAUAACCGCUGAAAGCAUCUAAGUGGGAAGCCCACCUCAAGAUAAG